GUGCCAGCAGCCGCGGUAAAACGUAGGUCCCGAGCGUUGUUCGGAUUCACUGGGUGUAAAGGGCGCGUAGGUGGUUGUCUGUGUCUCAUGUGAAAACUCAGGGCUCAACUCUGAGAUUGCGUGGGAAACUAGGCAGCUAGAGGACGGUAGAGGGGAGUGGAAUUCCCGGUGUAGCGGUGAAAUGCGUAGAGAUCGGGAGGAACACCAGUGGUGAAGACGGCUCUCUGGACUGUCCCUGACACUGAGGAGCGAAAGCCAGGGGAGCAAACCGGAUUAGAUACCCGGGUAGUCCUAGCCGUAAACGAUGGGUGCUAGGUGUUGGGGGGUAAAGACCCUUCAGUGCCGAAGCCAACGCGAUAAGCAUCCCACCUGGGGAGUACGGCCGCAAGGUUGAAACUCAAAUGAAUUGACGG
rnacentral:rRNA from 1 species